rnacentral:miRNA from 1 species
CGGCGGCUCGCCCAGCGCCGACUCAGGGCUCCCGGCGGCGGCGACGGCGGGGGCACGAGGC